GGGUUUGAUCAUAAAGCUCAGAUUGAACGCUGGCAGGAUGCUUUACCAUGCAAGUCGAACGGCAGCACGGACUUCGGUCUGGUGGCGGGUAGCGAGCAGUGGGUAAUGUAUCGGAACGUGCCUAGUAGCGGGGGAUAACUACGCGAAAGCGUAGCUAAUACCCGCAUACGCCCUUCAGGGAAAGCGGGGACCUUCGGGCCUCCCGCACUGUGGAAACGGCCGAUAUCGGAUUAGCUAGUUGAGCGGGGUAACGGCUCGCAAGGCGACGAUCCGUAGCUGGUUUGAAGGACGACCAGCCACACUGGGACUGAGACACGGCCCAGACUCCUACAGGAGGCAACAGUGGGGAAUUUUGGACAAUGGGGAAACCCUGAUGCAGCCAUCCCGCGUGUGCGAUGAAGGCCUUCAGGUUGCAAAGCACUUUUGGCAGGAAAAAAACGGCAAGGAUAAUACCCCGUGCAACUGACGUUACCUGCAGAAUGGCACCGGCUAACUACGCGUGCCAGCAGCCGCGGUAAUGUGGGUGCAAGCGUUAAUCGGAAUUACUGGGCGUAAGCGUGCGCAGGCGGUUCGGAAGAAGAUGUGAAAUCCCAGAGCUUAACUUUGGAACUGCAUUUUUAACUACCGAGCUAGAGUGUGUCAGAGGGAGGUGGAAUUCCGCGUCUUAGCAGUGAAAUGCGUAGAUAUGCGGAGAACACCGAUGGCGAAGGCAACCUCCUGGGACACUGACGCUCAUGCACGAAAGCGUGGGAGCAAACAAGUUAGAUACCCUGGUAGUCCACGCCCUAAACGAUAAUCAACUAGCUGUUGGGGCCUUCGGGCCUUGGUAGCGCAGCUAACGCGUGAGAAGUUGACCGCCUGGAAAUUACGGUCGCAAGAUUAAAACUCAAAGGAAUUGACGGGGACCCGCACAAGCGGUGGAUGAUGUGGAUUAAUUCGAUGCAACGCGAAAAACCUUACCUACCCUUGACAUGUCUGGAAUCCCGAAAGAGAUUUAGGGUGCUCGCAAGAGAACCGGAACACAGGUGCUGCAUGGCUGUCGUCAGCUCGUGUCGUGAGAUGUUGGGUUAAGUCCCGCAACGAGCGCAACCCGCUGUCGUGGAUUGCUACGAAAAGGGCACUCUAAUGAGACUGCCGGUGACAAACCGGAGGAAGGUGGGGAUGACGUCAAGUCCUCAUGGCCCUUAUGGGUAGGGCUUCACACGUCGUACAAUGGUCGGGACAGAGGGUCGCCAACCCGCGAGGUGUCCCGAGCCCGAUCGUAGUCCGGAUCGCAGUCUACAACUCGGCUGCAGCGAAGUCGGGAAUCACUAGUAAUCGCGGAUCAGCAUGUCGCGGUGAAUACGUUCCCGGGUCUUGUACACACCGCCCGUCACACCAUGGGAGUGGGUUUUACCAAGUAGUUAGCCUAACGCUUCGGGAGGGCGAUUACACGGUAGGAUUCAUGACUGGGGUGAAGUCGUAACAAGGUGG
rnacentral:rRNA from 1 species